GGGGCCUGAAAUAAAUGUAAAGAAAGGGGUUUUUUGAUAUAUAUAAUGGAGAAGUGAUGAAUAUCAAGAAAUACAAAUUAUUUUCCUUGUGGAGGAGAAAUUGUGGCACAGCUGUAAAAAUAUGAGGUGCAUGACUGAGAUCUCAUCACUGCAAACAUAAAUAACCUCUGGAAGAACUUUAAUGGCUAGACUUCAAAGAAAACCCACUGAUUCUAUCCUCUGUCCAGUUACCAAGGUUCAGUAGUGAUUGUGAGGGUGGUUCGGUGGUUGAUCCUGUAUAAGGAAAUGACCAGGACUUCUGUUCCAAGAGUGGGGCCCAAUCCUUUGGGAAGAGUUGGAAGGACUGGGAUUCUGAGACCUUAUAAGACUGGAAUGCUUUUCUGAGCUGAAGUGGUGAUGAAUUUGUGACCACAGGGGGAAAUCCUGCAUGGAGUUUGAAGGGCUAUCACCAACCAGCACCUUGCUGAAGUUGGGAUGAUGCCUGGUAAGCUUAUUAGCAUAGGUGUAGGUUCUUUUAUUGUUGUAAAUAUGUUUUCUCUGUAAUGCCUAUGCCUUAAGACUAAAUGUGCUUGCUUACACACAACCUGUGUGGUAACUUAUCUGUGGUAAUUACACUGUGUACCAUCUCUAAGCAGAGAAGUGAAGCAGGCCGGCUUAGGCAGACUGUCUUUUGGUGGGAAACUUAGAGCGUAGGCAGGGAACUGUUCAGCCUGGAAAUACUUUGGUCAGAAUAGAGACGAGGAUCUCCACUGAAGAGAAGAAACAACUGAGGAGCCUGGAACCUAGAAUGGGGGAGGCAGGAAGGGUGGCACUAGCAGCUAGCUGAGAUCAGGUCACAACCUCAAUGCAGUAUUAAGUGUCCCAAUUCACUUGUAUGUUAAAUGUUAAUGUUAUUGCCUACAUUUGUCUGUAACCCGCUGAAUGCUAUUUACAUUGCAUGUGUAUCCUGUUUGAUGUGUUCUAGUGUAACUAAAUUAGUCUAUUGUUGCAAUGUGCUUAUUAAUCUCUGUAUCCUGUGCUUAAUUAACCUUAAAUCAAAGAAUGUAUUAGCAUUUUUAAAUUUAGAUUUACUUAAUGCAUGAAAACUAGUGGAAUGCUAAUGUUAUUGUCUGCAUCUAUCUGAAACGUGUUGAUUUACAUUGUAAAAUACCUAUAGACCAUCUUAGUGGCCUGAAUGAUUCUUACUGAAUGCAUUACCUUUGAAUGGCGUAUUGAACAUUAAACAACAAUUAGGAUCACAGACUGGCUGCAUUUGCUGUUCAUCAAAGCCCACGUGGUGAAGAUGCCUGUCAGUUUGAUAGCCUGUUUCAACCGUAACAGGAAAGGCUUGGGAGCGAUCCUUACCUCUGAUCUAUCUGAACACCGACAGAGAGGUUCCAGAUGCCAGUCAGAGAUCCCCAAAAAGCCAAUUUUGGGAAGGCUUGAGAGAAUUAAUGAAAUGA